CGCCCCCUAUACGUCAUCAUUGAGUAAACUUUGACCCGGAACCUCACAGUCAGCAGAAACUUCCUGGGAGGGAGUGUCUGCUGCUGAUUGGGUGGAAUGUGACUGCUGGCUGUGAGGUUCCGGGUCAAAGUUUACUCAAUGAUGACUUAUAGGGGGCG